CCUACGGGAGGCUGCAGUGAGGAAUAUUGGUCAAUGGACGAGAGUCUGAACCAGCCAAGUAGCGUGAAGGAUGACUGCCCUAUGGGUUGUAAACUUCUUUUAUAUGGGAAUAAAAUGUUCCACGUGUGGGAUUUUGUAUGUACCAUAUGAAUAAGGAUCGGCUAACUCCGUGCCAGCAGCCGCGGUAAUACGGAGGAUCCGAGCGUUAUCCGGAUUUAUUGGGUUUAAAGGGAGCGUAGGUGGAUUGUUAAGUCAGUUGUGAAAGUUUGCGGCUCAACCGUAAAAUUGCAGUUGAAACUGGCAGUCUUGAGUACAGUAGAGGUGGGCGGAAUUCGUGGUGUAGCGGUGAAAUGCUUAGAUAUCACGAAGAACUCCGAUUGCGAAGGCAGUUCACUGGACUGCAACUGACACUGAGGCUCGAAAGUGUGGGUAUCAAACAGGAUUAGAUACCCUUGUAGAC
rnacentral:rRNA from 1 species